GGCUAUUCCGAAGAUAGUAAGUUACCUCAAUUGAUUGUUCACAAAGAUUGAACUCCUUAUUGUACUCUUUUCUCCCUUCUAACUACUGCACUUGAUUAGUCUUGA
rnacentral:Y_RNA from 1 species